AAUGCCCAUGUCAAGAAUAUCCCCCCUUUGAUGAUAAAUGCUGAUGUGGUCUGAGGCAAACUUGGUGAAAUUGUUGCCAUUGGGUUGUUUAGGCUAAAUCCUGGCUCACACAGAGGUGACCACUGAGUGACUCAGAGGAGUCACACUCCCCUGCCCAUACACUCAAUGACCAUGAAGCCCCAGGGUUAUAAAACCCAGCAGGAAAGGAAAGGCCAUCCAGUGCCUUCCUCCCACGUGAAUCAGCACAGAAUUCUUUUCUCUUCUCCAAAUAUGUGACAUUCAGGGCAGCACCAAUGCAAGGAUUUUUAGGUAUCUCAAGUUCUUUCCAAACCUGACCUGUAGUCUUUCUUUAUCCACUCACUCUCUGGACAGAGCUCAGUCUCCAGAAUGAAGAAUUUAGAAUUAUUUAAAUGCGCUAAAAUAAUAAGCAACUGAAGCUCACACAAAUAAACUAAACCACAAUCCUUCAUGAAAGAACAAAAAUCUCAUGAACUAGGCUUAAAAAAUAGUUUUCUUUGGGCUCCUGAGCAUUCCUGUUGAGUAGUGAAUACUCACUGGAGUGUUGAGCACUACUCACAGGAUUAAAACUAAAUCUGGUGCAGGUGUUGGUUACUUUGAUCUGUGCUUGAUUAGAGAAUCAGGUGUGUGUUAAGUGACUGGAUGAGAGCUUGUCUUUUGGAGUCUCAACACUUACACACUCUCCUUUUGUACAACCCUGUCAAAAAGGUUCCCUUGGCUUGUUUUUCGCAUCUGUCUUCCCUUUGUUCCCCUCACAUGAAAGAACCCUGAACUGCAAGUCAGAUCUUUCUUAAAAGAGCUCCUUCAUUCCAGCCUUUGCUGUUGGUACGAUACAGAGGCUCCCAGCUGGGGUUAGAGUUCUGGUGGAAGAAAUAACUUUGGAUGGGGAGAAAGGAGAGCGGAGUUUUGAGCAGAGAGAGAAGCCAGCAGAGGCAGCAUCAGUCUCACGUGGCACAGCAGAGACCAGCACCCAAAUAUUGCUUUCUGUUCCAGAGCUCCAGGCAUUAUGAGAUUUCCUUUCCUAAACACAACAACUCCAAAUGUUCCUCCCUGUGCUUCUCUUCCACAGGAGCCACCUCGAGAAAGGUUAUUUUGGGAGUGCCUUGGGAUUGAAGGCCGUUCAGACAGGGCUGAUGGCUCAUUUCUUUCUCUGUGGUGAAAAGGUCAGGCUGCUGCAGGUGACCUUUCUGCUGGGAAAGCUGCAGGUCUGCGUGCUGCCUUUUUGCUGUCCCGUGUGGAGGGAUUGCUCCACAGAUUCCACAUGAUCAGGUUCCGUGCUUCCCUUGCUGUUUUCACUUCCAUUUAUAUUUAGGCAGAGCUCUGGAAGUGUUGAAAGGGAUUGUUGGAAGCAAUGACAUCAGUUGUUCCUCCUUUGUGGUUGGGGCAGUUGCUACUGAAAUAACCAGGGCAGGACAAUUUUAAUCUGCAGCUGCUCCUGAGGGGCCACCAGCCCCUUCCCCUUUGUCUUCAGCUCUGCACUGUUUCCUUCCCUGUGCAGUGAGGACAAGGAUCCUGGCUUUCCUUGUCAAAUCCAGAUCCCUUAGCUGUGAGCUCAGAGGCUCCUGAGGAAUUCCACCAUGCAGGGACCAGGCAGCUCUUGGGAGCAGCGGUGUCUUUGAGAGGAAAGUAAAUAUUGCAGAUGCUGCACGAGGGGCUUUGCAGCUCUUGCCACAAAUCUGGGAAGCUUGAGGGACCAGAGGGAGUAAUCAUCUGCUCUGAUGAUUCCUGCAGGAGCUGGAGAGUCCAGUUAAGCAAUUUCAGAAGACAUUCAGGGUCUAUUUGGUGCUGUGAAACAUCUUUAAUUCUCCCAUUGCCACAGCAGGAUUCACAGCAACUGAAGAACUGACAACUUUUAUGGUUUCUCCAAGUGCAACUUUUUUUGAUCAUGCCACAAUUAAUAAAAAAUUUCAUAGAGAAUCAUUUAUCCAGGUUUGGGAGUACUUUUUCCAUACCUGCAGACUUUGCAGUUUGCUCUUUCUAGAGCUGUCUGGUCACACUGGCACCUGUGACACCCUCAGAAUAUUAACAUUUAAAUCCUAACAUUUGCACCAUAACCUCAGACUUUUCACCCUAAACUUGGGGAACUCAUUGACUGACAUCUGCAUUUACAUUAUACAAAAUUUAAAAUUCCUUUUUCCAGUGUUAAUUGAAAUACUGGAAGACAGAAUAUGGGCAAACCUUUUGUGAAGACUACUUGAUUCUCAAUCCCCUGGAAUGAGUCUCUAGCAAGUCUUUGUAGUUCAUUAGCUGCUGGAUUUUGGAAUUAUCAUCUGCCCCUCAGCCUAACAGCAUUUGGAAUUAGAGCAGAAGAUCCCAAAUCCUGGAGCGUGGACUAACAUAAUUGAGAACCACUUGCCUCAUAUCACCCAUUAUUCUAUGUUUGCAGCAGAGCAAGGAUUUGAAACAGUGUCAUCAACAACAAGUAAACAGAGAGAAAGAAAAAUAAAUUCCUUGAAAAUAAUGAAAUAUUUUCCAAACCUUUUAUUUGUGAAUCCAUAUUGCUUUAGAUAAAGAAUCAAGCUGGCAAGUGGCCCAUUUUAAAUAAGAGAGAGGAAAAAGCCUGCAGAGGUGUAUUCACUCACUUUUAAGGGCAGAAACUCCCAGAAAAUCCAAGAGCUGCAAAAAUCAGAUCUGCCAAAAUCUCUGACUUUUGGAGUUAAGCUACGGUUACAGAAAUAGGUAAUUUAUUUCUAGUAUUUUUAUCACUAAUGUAUUCACAUCUCUGCUCUCAUAUGUGGAAUAUAUAUUAGAUUCAUAAAAAUGAAUUGAAAUUUACUAUUUCCUGGAUUAUCUUAUUCCAGUUAAACCCUUGAUUCAUAAGGCAAUUGCUGAAGAUAAAUAGAACUUCAUGAAUUGUUCAUAAACUGCACAAAUUCACAAGUUAGAGAUGAAAAAUGUAAGCCACACAACCCUUCAUCUGGAGGCCACAAAUUCCAGUCCAGGUUUGAGAUCAGCAGCGCCCAAGAUCCAUUUUCAUCUUAUCACCUGAAGGCUUUCUGGUAGCAUUUGUGAACUCAGUUUGUUCCCUCAGCUCCAUCUUUACAGGAUAAGUGGCCACAUAAAUAAUUCACUGGAACUUGUCAGAAACAAGAAGUUGUGAAAUGUAAAGUCCCCUCCAUCCAUCCAGCUGUAUAAGCAGCACACAGGAGCUAAUUUUCUAACCUUUCACUAAGCUUUGCAUGGAACUAGACACAGAGGAGUUCUUGCACAUUUUUAAUAAACUAAAGCUCCUCAAAUAUCAAUUCUUUCUAAUAAUAGGCUCCCUAGAAAUACCACUUUUGAGGUUUUUCUGUUCUUUAUUGCAGAAUUAUUAGGAAAACCUUCUCACAGGGACCUUUGGCUGUGCAACUGUUAAAAAAAUAAAGCUUCUCUUUAGCUGAAAAA